rnacentral:rRNA from 1 species
AGGAUGAACGCUAGCGGCAGGCUUAAUACAUGCAAGUCGAGGGGCAGCGGGGUAGCAAUACCGCCGGCGACCGGCAAACGGGUGCGGAACACGUACGCAACCUUCCCAGAACAGGUGAAUAGCCCUCCGAAAGGAGGAUUAAUACACCGUAAUAUAGUGAGAUGGCAUCAUUUUACUAUUAAAGGCCGCAAGGUCGGUUUUGGAUGGGCGUGCGCCUGAUUAGGUAGUUGGUGCGGGUAACGGCCCACCAAGCCUACCGAUCAGUAACUGGUGUGAGAGCACGACCAGUCACACGGGCACUGAGACACCGGGCCCACUCCGUACGGGAGCAGCAGUAAGGAAUAGUUGGUCAAGUGGACGACAAGUCCUAGAACCAG